rnacentral:snRNA from 1 species
GCGCUCGCUUCGGCAGCACAUAUACUAAAAUUGGAACGAUACAGAGAGGAUUAGCAUGGCCCCUGUGCAAGGAUGACACACAAAUUUGUGAAGCGUUCCAUAAACAG